rnacentral:rRNA from 1 species
CNGAGCGCCUCUCUUCGGAGAGGAGCGGCGAACGGGUGAGUAACNNNNNNNNUAUCUGCCUCGGGGUGAGGGACAACUGAUGGAAACGUCAGCUAAUACCACAUAUGGCCUACGGGUCAAAGGCUUCGGCCGCCCUGAGAUGAGCCUGCGUCUCAUUAUUUAAUCCUAGUUGGUGGGGUAAUGGCCUACCAAGGGUACGAUGGGUAGCUGGUUUGAGAGAAUGAUCAGCCACACUGGGACUGAGACACGGCCCAGACUCCUACGGGAGGCAGCAGUGGGGAAUAUUGCGCAAUGGGCGAAAGCCUGACGCAGCCACGCCGCGUGAGUGAUGAAGGCCCGAGGGUCGUAAAGCUCUGUCUGGAGGGAAGAAAAAAAUGACGGUACCUCCAAAGAAAGCACCGGCUAACUCCGUGCCAGCAGCCGCGGUAAUACGGAGGGUGCAAGCGUUGCUCGGAAUCACUGGGCGUAAAGCGUACGCAGGCGGCUUGUAAAGUCGGAUGUGAAAGCCCGGGGCUCAACCCCGGAACUGCAUUCGAAACUCACAGGCUUGAGUACUGGAGAGGGAAGCGGAAUUCCUGGUGUAGAGGUGAAAUUCGUAGAUAUCAGGAGGAACACCCGUGGCGAAAGCGGCUUCCUGGCCAGAUACUGACGCUCAUGUACNAAAGCGUGGGG